GAAACCGGAACCACAUACACGCGAGUAACACAGUUCAGGCCCUGAGCCCCGCAGAGGAAGCUCCCUGUGCAGCCGCCGCGAGCUGUGCUGUCACCACACCGGGCGCUGGGAAAGCGCGGCAGACGCGCUGCCACCCGUGCAGGCGGUGACUGGGGCGGGUGGGCCCUGCGGAGGCGCCGAGAGCUACGUCGGCGAGGAAUUCCUGCUCUUCGACUCUUCUUUUUUGUUGCUCUUAUACUAAUUGAGAAAUUACUUAAAUUCAACUUGGUAUCCACUAAGAGCUUGACACAACUUAAAAUUUCCAUGUAUUUUAUUCAGGAACCGAUAGCCAAUCAGAGCAGUGAGCCUAGCGCCGCGUGCCGGACGCCGGGCGGAGGCUUGACUGAUUGGCCUUCGAUGACAUUCACAGUCCCACGGGGAAGGACCGGAACUACCUUAUGUUAGAGGCAAGGAAACAGGUUUGAGAGGCUAAUAACAAGCUCAUGCGUCUUGUAAGUCAUAGGACCCAGCGCCGACCGCGCCCGUCCACCUGCCCAGCGCGCUGGGCGGGCCGCCCCUGAGCCGGCGAAGGUGCACGCUGCGCCCGCGCUCCCGGGGGACUCCAGCCGCGGACAUCCUUCCCACGCAACACGUUCAUGGAGGAUCUACAGUGUGCAAACCCGUGGGUCAACGCCCAGUGUUUGUUAAACUGAACGGGGCUGCGCUGCAGUUCAGAAAGCGGAAGUCGGCUGAGCAAGGAGCCCCGCCCUCCGGCACGAGCCCUGCCCCCAAAGAAGAGGGCGAGAGAAUGAGCGGCCGCCACUCGAGGUCAAGGCUGAAAUGCGGGGAAUGCUAACUGCAUAGGCUGUGAGAGUCUGGCAAAGGGGGAAAUUAAGCCUGCUCCGCGGGCUGCUCUCUCUGAGACCGUGGCAAGCACGACGGUGUCCUAUUGAAAACAGUGUGGAAAGCUGCCUAAAUGUUUACUAACAGAGGACAAUUAGAUAAAUUAUGUACUCACACCAUGUAAUAUUAAACUGCGAUUUGAAAUUCUGCCACAGCAGAAAAAGGGCUGUUGGUGAGGAAAGAUGUGCACCGUCCAAAAGUGAAAACCAGAACAAAAUAAAGUGAAAGUAUCAGGUUGUGUCGACGAGUUUCCCUCCAAAAUUGGGUGGGCCGCAUCCAAUCAGUUGAAGGCCUUAAGAGAAAAGAGCGAAGUCCUUGGAGGAAGAGGGAAUUCUGCCUCUGGACGGCGACGUCGAAGUUCUGCUGGGGCUUCCAGCCUGCCCCGUAGACUCUGGACUGAAGAUCGCAGCAUCAGCUGUCACCUGAAUGUCCCCACUGCUGGCCUGGCUGUGGGGUGUAGACUUGCCAGCCCCACAAAGGAAGGACCCUUACUAAAGCAGCAGCGUGAAGGACCCAUGGGGAUCCUCUUUACCAGACCUUUCUUUAAAGACGAGGAAAGGCACGUGAGGAAGGAGUUGGGUAUUUUCACAGCAUUUGCUCUUUCCCUCCGUGUGUAGGAUCUAAUAUAUCCUCACAGCGGCCUCGGACCCGGGAG
rnacentral:lncRNA from 1 species